AGUUCAGGGAUCAGCCAAAAGAUGGCACAGCAUGUAUGGUGGGAAAAGAGGCUGAGAUGAGCCUUCUGGUGUCUGUGUUUAACCCAGAACCUGAAGAGCGUCUGCGUCUCCUCUGUUGGGAAUCUUCUGCUUCCAGGACUCAAAGACGGGGAUGGAUACGGAGGAAGAGGAGGAGGAGGGAGUGAGGUAGAACAUGUGGAGUUGCAGAGCAAUCUGUGAACACGACUAAAACUAAUGGUUAUUCUGAUGUGCAACGCCUUGCAGAGAAAAUAAAUGCACUGCCUAAGCAGCCAAACGCGCACGAGCGCCCUUCCUGUGGACGCCGCCAGCCGUGUGAAGUGCUCUGGAGAAACCGGAUCCUGCCGGCUGUGUCACAUCGCAUUUGCUGCCACCCGUCAGGAGGAGUUUGACUGCCAGACGUUGUGACAGCGUCAGUCAUCCUCUAGCCCAACAGCUAAAGGAGGAAAGCGAACCUCCAUCACUCCACGACUGGAGUACGAAGAGGGCAACGUCUUAGUCCUACAAGUGGAAGUGACAGAAACCAGUGUCCAUCCAUCAUAUCUGCCCAGCAGGAUUUCAUGCGCUUACAUUCUUAGAGAAAAAAAAAGGUUUUGUCUUACAGUUAAAAAACAGGCAGCUGAUGAAGAUUUCCAAUGAUCAAAGGUCCUGAAGGGACUCACCUGCCCCCCCAGCUGCAUUAUCUGAAUGUGAUUCCAGCCAGAAAGCUGAUGAUUGAGCAGCUUAUCCUGCCAGGUCUGUCAACCAGACUUGCAUUUCUAGUUCAUCUCUCACUGUGUUAUAUUUAUUUUUCAGUCAAAGCUGUGAGCAGAGUGCAGAAUGUCAGGCCAGAAGGAGCGCGCCUAAAAGCCAGCUACUAACGCACAUAUAUGACAGUCAAGGACACACACACACACAAACACAGGUGCACACACAGACAGUAAAUGUGACGGCAGCCCAGUUGUCAGGUCGUCUGACAGCGCCGUGAGCUCCCAUGUGGCUGCAGAGUUUCCAGACAGCAGGACAGCAGCACCUCACGCCCUUGCCUCAUCUCCCCCCUUCCCCACCCUCCUCUCCAGCCUCACCCACUGCCUCUCAUCGCUCAGGACAGGAACCCUCAGAAGAGCCUGGCAAUGCGAGAGCUGAUGGACAGGCCGUCUCCGGUGUGAACUCCGGUCCUCUCUGGCCCACGUCACGGAAAGACGGCUCACUGUUCCUGAAGCCGGCCUGGAAAGGUUGGGACGGUGAUUCCGAAAACUCUUUUGGCUCCGAAUUACUUUGUGCUGAAAUUGCAGGAGUGUUGUGACCAAGCAGCAUCACAGGCUGCAGGACACGUCUGUCACGUGCACACGUGCACAAAUAACUCACCACAAUGUGCAGUCAAUUUAAGGGUGCACACUGUAAAGUCCCACUCUGAUGCUCCUCUGAUCUAUUGUAAAAGCCUUCCCACGGGGUUUUUAAUUAGGAUGAUGCACUUUUCAGACAAAAUUAUAAAAAGCAUGUGUUUUUUUCUAGGACAUAGUUUCUGUAGAGCGGCAGAAGUUCAUUUGAAAUCCCCCUCCAGGGUGGGGGCUUUUUCCAGUUUGAGGGACAGCAGUCUUGGUUACAAACUCUGCAGGCAGAGCUUGUUCCGUUGAAGCCAUGUAAUUUUUAGAUGUCUUUUGAAUGUCAAGUAAAAAACCAUCCCAAGUGUGAAGCAUCUUUAUCUGAUGAUGCAUGUGACUUGGACUUCCUGGGUCAUGUGAUGCAGUCAUUCCUACAUGCUUUCCUCUGGUUUGCCAUGCACAGAGGGUGAAAUGAAUCACUUCCACAGUUCUCACGUCUGAGCUUCUUUGCAGCAAAAGCAUAAAUUGCUCCAUAAAUCUUCCUCCAGCACAAUUUCAAAACCCAAAACUUGUGCUGAAAGUACGCCUAAAAUGCAUACAUUACACUUGAGCAUAAUUAGAUUGUGACUGAUGCAUUAAUUAGGAAUGAGUGAGUUACAAUUAGACUUGCUGCUGGAAACACAGCACAGUGCUUCUGCAAAAGUAACUUAAAAAAAAGAAAGUAGCUGUUUUUUACUUAAAUAGGUUUGAGUUUUUAUGUGUUUUAUUUUUCCAUAAGUUCACUUUCCCUCAGUUCUUACUCUCAAAUAGUCCUAAAACUGCAAAUAUAGUCCUUUUACACUAUAAGCAAGCUGCUGUAAAAUGUAAACAAAGUUAUCUGGAUGUCAUCAAAGUAGGAAUUUUGUGAGCAGUGACUGUUAGCUCACUGUAUAGUUUUAUAUUAUUUCUCAGUAAUUUCACGUCAUUUUCCCUGAAAGAGCAUUUCAUGUUUGUUGACAAUGUCUGUGUUCCGUAUUUUACACAAGAAGUAGAGACUUGUGCUGAAAAUAAAAGCAUGAUGUGUAUGUUACACUUUAGCAUUACUAGAUUGCAACUGACUGAGUGAUUUAUAAUUAGAGCCCAUAUUUCUAGAGAGGGAUGCUGCAGAAAAAACAACAACAAUUUUUAAAUUUUGUUUUGUUUUGUGUGAUCAUGAUUUUAAAUUACAUUUUUUGCAUUUGACAGAUUGUGACAGUUGUUCCCAAACACAAUAAUAGCACAAUAUUUAAGGCUUCAGUAACCGGCUGUCUAAUGUUUAGAAGAUGCUGCUGAUAAAGCUGUUCAAACAGAUGAAGAUUAAAUUUAUAUUUAAAAGCUCAAUAAAAGAAAAACGUUAAAAUUCUGCAUCGUACAGCCGGUCUGUGUGGCCGUGAACCAGUCUGUGUCCUGAAGAAGGUUGGAGACCACUGCCGGACGCAGCUUUCUUACAGUUCUUACAAUGGUGUCCCCCCUAACGUCACAAUAGAAGUGCAUUAUGACUGUAUAAUUAUUGGCUUUCUCUUUACAGGAUUUUCCCUGGGAUGUUUUUUUUAUCACCUUGUGUUUUGCAGUGUCUUUAUUUACAUAAUGUUUAUUGGACUUCUAUUUCCACUGCAUGCUUGUAAUUAAAUAUUCAGUUUAUUAUGUUUACUUUUUAAUCAAAGCUGCUGCAGAAGAAGCUCAGAGUCAAUGUGUUCAAUUAAAACAAUCAAAGACAAAAGUCACUCUUUUGUGAAAUCUAUAAACAGUGCAUUCAGGUAAAGCUCUGAGGGGCCCCUGUGCAUUUAGGUAAAGCUCUGAGGGGCCCCUGUGCAUUCAGGUAAAGCUCUGAGGGGCCCCUGUGCAUUCAGGUAAAGCUCUGAGGGGCCCCUGUGCAUUCAGGUAAAGCUCUGAGGGGCCCCUGUGCAUUCAGGUAAAGCUCUGAGGGGCCCCUGUGCAUUCAGGUAAAGCUCUGAGGGGCCCCUGUGCAUUCAGGUACAGCUCUGAAGGGCCCCUGUGCAUUCAGGUAAAGCUCUGAGGGGCCCCUGUGCAUUCAGGUAAAGCUCUGAGGGGCCCCUGUGCAUUCAGGUAAAGCUCUGAGGGGCCCCUGUGCAUUCAGGUAAAGCUCUGAGGGGCCCCUGUGCAUUCAGGUAAAGCUCUGAGGGGCCCCUGUGCAUUCAGGUACAGCUCUGAAGGGCCCCUGUGCAUUCAGAUAAAGCUCUGAGGGCCCCUGUGCAUUCAGGUAAAGCUCUGAGGGCCCCUGUGCAUUCAGGCACAGCUCUGAGGGGCCCCUGUCAAUCUCACCCCCCCAGACACUUCAUGUAUCACUGUCUCGCAAAUGAAGGCCACAUCACACGAAUGAUUAAUAAACAAACCUAUUACCAAUGCGACACACAUUUCACCAAAGGUUCAUUUUCGGAAAUACAAUCUCCCUUUUGUUAAUAAUGUCCAUUCAUCAUGCCAGAAUGUCGCUUAACGCAAGGUUAAUGAAACACUGCUAAUGCUCGCCUAAUCUAUCCCGAGUCAGAAAGCUGCUGUAACUGUUAUUCCUCGAAACUAUUUUCCAGAGGAUUCUCGCGGGUGAUUGAUGGACGCGGGACAGGGGAUGUCCAUUAUUUUUAGUUGGAACACACAGACAGAAUGUGGGGUCAGCUGUGGGCCGAACUCAGAAAGCUUUACCUGUCCAAAUGGCUAAUGAACCGCUGACAAGAUAUAUGAGAACACUUUAGGGGCGAAUUUAAGUAUGACAUAACAACUUGAUAAUGGAUUUACUGCGGCGCUCCGAAGCGUUCAUUCCCAGCCGUAUAAUGUUCAUGCUUACAGCCACUGCGGCUCGCGCUGAUCUUUACAUGUUUUGUGUGAUCAUGCCUUCGUCUCGACUCCCGUUUUCCAGCUGUCAAGCAGUCCUAUUAAAAAGUAUUAUUUUGUUUUAUGCGUGCGUGCGUGCGUGCGCGGUGUGUGAGCGUGCUGUGGUGUAAACACAACAUUAGGCGAGACUUUUAUUGUAAUGUGAGUGUCUGGUGCCAGCUGAGCUGAGCUGCAAGCUGUUUGGAGAAGCGGAUGACUGUUUGAUUGUUUGAUGACAAUGCGAGACUUGCAUCUCUCUUCCUUUUGUCUGCGUCUCUGAAGAGUGCUGACAUUAAAUGUUUGAUGUUGGCGUGCACAACUGAUGUACAAAUAAAAUCCUCACCGGUGGGA